UGCGUAGGGGGCAAGCGUUGUCCGGAAUCACUGGGCUUAAAGCGUGUGUAGGCGGAUCGUUAAGUACCUUGUGAAAUCCCACGGCUUAACCGUGGAACGGCUGGGUAUACUGGCGAUCUUGAGCCACCUAGGGGCGAGCGGAACAAAUGGCGGAGCGGUGAAAUGCGUAGAUAUCAUUUGGAACGCCAACGGUGAAAACAGCUCGCUGGGGGUGUGCUGACGCUGAGACACGAAAGCCAGGGGAGCGAACGGG
rnacentral:rRNA from 1 species